CACAGCGUUUAGUCAGCCACCACGUCCAACCCUCACCAGCCAAAUACGUAAGCUGCUAAAAAAAGUGAUGGGAGCUCAUGGACUUGGACUUUCUCUCCUCGUUAACCUGCAUAUAGGUGCUUCUGAAAGGGCUACAGAAAGAUGGCCCAGGCGGGUGAAAUUGGGAACAGGCCAAGGGCUGAACUAUAAACUGGGGUCAGAGAGCCCAGCAGGCCAAAGACGCCUCCACACCGUCCCUCCUGGUGAACUGACCGGGGCUAGGCACGUGGGGCCGGGUCUUCUGGUUUCCAGCACCUGCACUGCAUAAGCCUCGGAGGGCACAGCGCCCGCCACCAGGCUGACCACACGCCGAGUGAGGGCUGGUUGGACUCAGAAAUGCCCCAGGCAGCUUCGUCGUCUUCCCCCUAGACCCCUCGGCCUGGGAGUGCGUCCUCCUGGGAGGGGCUCCUCUGUCCUCCAGCUGCUGGUUUGUGAAAAGGCAAAUCCCAGCUCAACUCUUCCCGAACCUUCACAGCAGUGACCGUGAGGUUUUCUGCCUGAAACUUCCACUGGACUCGCAUCCGAGCACCUGGGCACACAAGCCCGUGAUCGCUGCGCAGACCCUCAUGAGACCUCAGGUCACGUUUGCAUUUGGUGCCAGCCCCUGGGGAGCAGCUGGACGUCAUCGGGAAAGCCCCGUUGGCAGAGCUGGAACACACGGUGCAGACUGAGAGAAACCGAUUCCGCAGGGCGAGGAAGCCCGGUCCUGGGUUGGGUUCCUCUGUCAGAUUCAAAAUUCAUAGCCAUGAAAGGAGGAGAGGUUUAUGUUUACUGCCAUUAUGAAGAGUAAUUCUUAUUUUGUAUGUUUUAAAAUAUUGGCUAUGUAGAG